GGGGGAUUAGCUCAGUGGUAGAGCGCUUGUUUAGCAUACAAGAGGCCUGGGGUUCAAACCCCCAAUUCUCCA